GUGAGGGAUUAAGGUGAAAUAAAUAUUAAUAUAUUAUAUAUUUGGGGUCAAAUAAUUGGAUUUUGAUAAAGUAAUGAUAUGUAUAUCAAUAUUAGACUCAUUUCGAAGGUCGUAAUUAAUUAGUAGUCUAUGACUCGAGAAAAGUUAUUUUGGAUAAGAACGUAUUAAGUUAUACCCAAUUGAAAGAAAACAAGAUAAAUAUAAUUUUAUAUAGUUUUAACCCAUUUUGAAUUUGAUUGAUUGGCUACCACAUUUUUAUUGGAUAGGAAUGGUAGUUCUUUUAGAUGAAAUAAAAUAAUGAUAAAGUACAAUUUUUUUAUGAUACGUGCCACAUUGGAUUUGACUUUAUCAAAUCAAAGUUUUGGUUUAUCUACUACUCUAGCCUACACCUAUAAAUACUAGGCAAGGAUUUCAUAUUUUACCACACCAAAAAUUAUUCACACGUGAAAGAGAGAGAAGAAAGAGAGAGAGAGAGAGAGAGAGAGAAAGAGGAAAGAGUGUGUGAAAACAGAAAUUUGUCAUACAUCAACUAUCACCGUCGAUCAAUAAAUCAUUCACAGAGUAGAGGAAGGAAUUUUGGAACGUACAUUCAAAUAUUUUUCGUGUACAUUUCGAUAACAAGGUAAGAUACAUUUAUGUGCAAAGUGUUUACGUUUCCUUAUGCUCUUAUAUGCGAUUAAAUAUACAUGGAAUGCUAGUGGACUUUCGGGUUCUAAAGAAAGAGAUAUUAAAUUUCUACAUGAAAAUUAAGAGGACCUAAGAUGGGUGUGUCGCUUGGUCACCGAUAUACUCCAUAAGAGAAGAGCGAUUAGUUCGGCUCGAUUGGAACAGUGGAGAAUUGGUGAUGCGGACUGCCAAGUGGAUAAAGAAUAGA